ensembl:lncRNA
CAGUUGUAUAGUGGGACAGUGCCUCUGGAUUGUGAACUUCACCUAUCUUUCCAAUGAAGAUGGCUGGAGUGGGCUAGAGUUGUAUAUUUCCCCUUUCCUAUGUGGAAGGUUACAGCUGAUUAGAGUUGGGUAUUUCCCUUCUCCCAGGUGAGCUAGGCUCUGCUAAUACCCCAGCCAAUUAGACUCUGGUUAACUAAUUUCUCCUGUGGGCAGACUUUAUUAAGAAGAAUAAGAGCAUGCUCUGACGCACUUCGAAAUGGUUCCUCUUCUCCUGUUGCUGCUGAAAGCACAGGGGGAUUUUUCUCUAGUACUUAAAGUGAGAAACUGCAUGAGCUCCUGGAAGUAAAACUCACUAACCUGUGGGAGCUCCCCCACCAUGACUGGGUUCCCCUGGAGUUUUUAAAUGUCAGAAUUGUCCACACUGAGCCUCCAGCAAUUCGUCAGUUCCAGUUUGGUGUUCCUAUUGCAGCUGGUUCUCUUGCCAGUUUCUGUGCAUGAGACAGCUCAGGGCUCUAUCAAGCCUACCUACUCUAUAUGACCAAGAUAAUCAGCAAAUACACUUCAGUUGUUUCUAAAUGUGUUAUUGGUGAACAGAGGAUGAAAAUGAAAGAAAUCAUUUUAAAAAUGGAGGGCAGAUUCUUUACCACUGAGCCACCUGGGAAGCCCAAGGCUGUUUCUAGAGGAGAUUAACAUUGGAAUCAGAAGAUUUAGUAAAGAAGAUUGCCCUCACUAAGGACUCACGUAUGGAUGUGAGAGUUGUACCAUAGAGACACCUGAGCGCUGAAGAAUUGCUGCUUUUGAACUGUAAUGGAGAAGACUCUUGAGAGUCCCUUGGACUGCAAGGAGAGCAACCCAGUCAAUCCUAAAGGAAAUCAACCCUGAAUAAUUGUUGGAAGGACUGAUCCUGAAGCUCCAAUACUUAGACCACCUGUUGCAAAGAACCAACUCAUUUGAAAAGACCCUGAUGCUGGAAAAGAUUGAAGCCAGGAAGAAGGGGAUGAUAGAGGAUGAGAUGGUUGGAUGGCAUCACAGACUCAAUGAUUAUGAGUUUGAGCAAGCUCCAGGAGUUGGUGAAGGACAGGGAAGCUUAGUGUGCUGUACUCAUAGGGUUGCAGAGAGUUGGACAUGAUUGAAUGACUGAACAACAACUAAAACAAUUAGAAGUAUCAUGGGUAGUUUGGAGGUCUUUAAUGUUUGCCCCUUCUCUGUCAUUUUUCUGUACACUUUCUUUUUAUAUAAGCAAUUCAUAUUUUCUUUUUGUUGUAUAAGUCUGCUCUACAACUGCACUGUUAACUCCCGGAGCCAUAUCCAGAAUAGCUUUUGCAAAAUUUUACAGGUACAUUUAAUUUAGAGCAGCCUUCAAGCACAGGGUUGAAAAAUUGUCCAAAAUUUAAAAUAUAUUUUGCAGGUUUAAUAAUUUUAAUGCAAAGUUUAUAUCCUCUGUAAUUGUUUUUAUUUCCUCCUGGGGCAAGUCAAAAACAUUUUUUAAAAAGUUUGACAAUGUCUGCAUAAAUUUAAGUGUUAAGAUAUUGAUCUAUUUUUAUUUAACACCAAUAUUUUCUUAUUGUCUCACUGUAUGUUUUAUUUUUGUUUUGUUGUUGUUCAAUCACUGUUGUGUCGGACUGAAACAUUUUAAAAAGUAUAUAAACAAAGUCUCAUUUUAUAUAAAUAUUGUCAUUUGUUUUGGUGGUUAGCAAUACAUCUAUGAGAACCUUAGGACCAUUUUGCCAUAAUAUUGAAUGAAAUUGUAAAUUUUGAAUGAAAUUGUAUGGUACAACACCUGAAACAUUUGUUGUAAUAUUGCACGAUGUUGUUUCUUAUGGCAAACAUGAUAUGAUAAGUUACAUUUUAAAAUAUAUAUUUGUUUUAUAAAAUUUCUCCAUUCCUGAUCUGCGAUUGGUUUACUGUCAGCAAUUUUUUUCAUUUUUCUAAAUAGUAGCUUCAGUUCAGUUCAGUUUAGUUCAGUCACUCAGUCAUGUCUGACUCUUUGCAACCCCAUGAAUCGCAGCAUGCCAGGCCUCCCUGUCCAUCACCAACUCCCGGAGUUCACUCACACUCACAUCCAUCGAGUCAGUGAUGCCAUCCAGCCAUCUCAUCCUCUGUUGUCCCCUUCUCCUCCUGCCCCCAAUCCCUCCCAGCAUCAGAGUCUUUUCCAAUGAGUCAACUCUUUGCAUCAGGUGGCCAAAGUACUGGAGUUUCAGCC